CAUAAUAAAGUUUAUUCUAUAUUACAAAUAGUAUUUUGUUCUUGACUGCAAAAUAGGAAUGCAUCAUAUUUACAUACACAGGUAUACAAUUAAUUAUAACAAAGUUAGAGAAGCUCGCCUUAUAUCCCCCAGGUUUCGUUUUUCUCUCUCGAUAAGAUACUCUUUAUCUUUCAAAUAUGGUCUAGUAAAAGUCUUUUCUAGCAUGUUUCUGUAACACCUGCUUUAACACUGAACUAGGAGGACAUUUCUAGUUCCUACAAAAACGUUUGAAGGUGGAAACUUUAUCUGUGCUCUUAGCAACACAAGGUGGCUACUCGCAGACGACCUUUGUUGCAGAGGAGGGGACGGGGCCGGGAGAAAAUGAAAGACAGGGUGUUACACUGGGGGGCAGAUUCACAACGACAGUCCAGGACUCUCACCAUGCGUUAUUAUUAACACACGGCUGUGGGGGGAAGCUUUGGGUAUCUAGACACAGUAUAUAUUGGCUACAUGAAUAGAAGAGGUUCUUUGAAAUUGUCGUCUCUAAUGCCAGUCAGUCCUUAUUCCCUUCAUUUUCCAAUAACAGCAAAAUAUUUGAUAUGUAAACGACACAACAUGUCCAGCAAACCCUUUGUGAAUGUACCCCUCCGAGUUGAAACAACAGACAUUAUAGUGUGUAGCUGCAGUUAAACGACAAUGAGUUGGAUAUCUCACAAACAUUUGACAAAAAGGCUAAAAAAAAACAGUCACUUGCCAAACUCAGUUUUUAACGUAAGUCUACAAUCAUCCUGGCUUUUUAGAGAGUUUAUCUGUGUCUUUAAUUACAUGUAUACAUAGAUUCUUCUAGGUGUUUUGUCUUCUAAUUAAAUGUUAUUGUAAAGUUUGUAUUUCACGAUGUUGGCAAACUGAUGCAGUCUUUUGUUGCUUUUUGCGAAAUGGACCUUUAUCAAACCCCUGUAUCCGUCUUUUGUUAUUUGAAAACAGGAUUUAAAAACUCAAAAUGUGUCUUUUCUAUUCUUGGCUCAACUGAUGGAGGAACAUUUUUUUACACAGUUUAUCGUGAUGAGUUCACUGUAAAAACAAGAUAGAAUAGCAUCAAAGAAAAGACUCAGCUCGCGUCUUCUACCAAACACCACAGAGGAGAGACAGCAGUAACACCAAACUGUAAUGGAAGACAUUAAAGUUAAGGGGACACGUAGAAGGUCGUACUGAUAAAAUUACAAAAAGGGUUUGUGUUGUCUCAUGAGAUCCAUUGAACAGUUGGCUUGUAAAUGACUUGUAAGUCCUAGUAGCAGUAGAAGUAUAUAAAUAUCUUUGAGCAAGGCAGUUCCAUUUCAUACCAUCCAAAUAGGUCAACAUGCAAGGGUAUAUAUUAUUUUCAUUUAGCAUCUAACACGUCACAGAAACGAUGAGCAUGAGGUUCUGCAGUUGGGGCUGGACUGGAUAAAGGUUCCACCUUAAACGAAAGUUAUAGUUUUUAUUACAUGAACAAUCCACUUUUUCCGUCUCGAUUCUUCCAAGCAAAAGAAAGAUAAAAGAACACAUCCACGUCAUCAUUGCAAGGCUUAAUUUUCUUAUUUUUCUUUUUUUUUUUUUAUAAGUUUCUUAAAUUGUUUAUGUUUUACAUGCGCUUAAAAAGCCAAUAAAGAACCCAAGGUGGACCUAGGGCGGUCUUCACACAUUCACAUCACCACAUGGGGCACGUUGUCAAGGCAAAAGAAAGGGCAGAGGUCAAAAGGUACGGAGGGCGCCUCCAUCAUCUCUCUUUCAAUCGCUCUCUCCCACCGCGGGGUUUCACAUCCAACAAGUCUUAGCAACUUUAAUGUCUAUCGUUUUCUGUUUAUCCUGCCGUGAUGUUCACGUUUUGUUCCUGCUCUGCAUUAUCUGAUUUUUUUUUCUUUUUUCUUUUUCUCUUCCAGGCUUGGAGAAGGCCGCCCCUGCCGCCACUGAGGACAACUACACUAAUACAGACAAGAGCGCCUCAACAGUUACACACUGAAGAGUUGGGGUUUUGCUGUAUGCAACUAGCUACCAUCUCCAACGCUUGUGCAAAACAGAAAAGGGAACUGGUAAUUCAGGAGCCGGACACAGAGGUGAACGGUGUGCCGAGAGCCGCAGAGACCCGGGACGAUGGAGAGAGAAGGAGGAUCGGAUCACGUCGCCCACGGAGCCUCUCACCUCGACACACUGAGGUCAGAAAAAUCACACGGGUUUCUUUAAGUUCCAGUCACAAUAUUUUUUUUUGUCCUAGAAGUGGUUGUCUUCUACAUAGUCCUUUGUCAGUUCCUCAGUGGCACUUUACAAAUACAUUGACCCUUUUGAAAAUUUCAAGCUCCUUUGGUUUUUGGCUGACUGGUGAAAUCCAUCUUGUUUGAGUUCUCCACACAAAAGUCUUUAAAUAAGAACAUCCUGGGAAAGAAGUGCUACUCUCUCAGCGGAGCCCCUUUAGGUAGCAGUCAGCCGUCUCGGACUUCACUGUAUCUCUCUUCUUCUUUUUGUUUAAGCAGUUUCUUGCCCAGCACAUUUCAGUCAGCUCUUCUCUUUACCUCCUCAGUGGUUGGCGUAGAUAUCUGGGCAGCUGCUGAUUGUGUGUGUAUCUGUGCGUGUGUGUGUGUGCUUUGAUAGACCGUCGCGGUGGCGACACAGAAGUGGAAGUGGCACGAGCCAUAGACUGCUGCUGGUGUUUGGACGAGCAGUCAAAACACGUCUUCCAGAGUUGGUUGUGUGCUUCUUACAGAGGAUCCAACUUGGGUCAGGGCCUCCAGGGGUUUUGUCUAAUAGGUUAAAUUUGCGGUAGCCACAUAAGCCAGAUGGAAGCAGAAAUCAUGAGCAUUUUCUUUCAAGUAAAUGUUUGCUGGCAGGGACAAAUGUGUGAAUGUUACAAAGGGGUACAGGUUGGAGAUGCUCUGGUUUGUAAAGUUUUAGUGUCAGUCACGUUUUCGAUAAAGGAAAAGUUCAGAGAAGCACUAAUUCUCCCCUACCCCCCAUCAGUCUUACUCUUAAAUACAACUCCAGCUACAUUGAAGGAACACAAGAACAUUCUAGGUUUGCCUGGACUCGCCCCAAAUUUCACAGAUAUGUAUGCUUUGUUUGUAGGUACAGUGUAAACUUGGCAAACCACCCUUGCAUGAAUUUUCUUCAGAGGUGUUCAUUUGGCUUGCAGUCAUCAUCUUUGAUGUUUCCUCUUGAUUCUGUAAGUUGAAGAUAGAACUACUCUAGAGAUGGUUUGAUUGGAACUAUCCUAUUCUGAAAAAAGUUCUCAACAAAAUGAACCAGCAGUGUUGUUUUUAAAGAAUUACCUAUCAGUGUAAAUUCUUAAAGGCAACAUAAAAAUGUCUUUCCCCUUUUUUUUCUUCCAGCAGGGGGACUGAAGUAUGCCAAUAUGGCCAGCUUUCAAGAAAUCACCCCUUGGCGCUCUCCCUGUGGUGAAGCUGAGGGGUCCCCCGCAUUGCACUGUGGGAGAUGCCACCCUCAGCCCUGGACCACCCUUCAGAUGUUUUCAGUGCGCCCUGGGAAGUGCGGUCCUCAGCUUUCCAGACUCAUGAGGGCCACCACCUGCUCCAGCUUGAAGGCCAACCUCUGUUUCCUGGCUGCAUCAUCCUGUUCCAGCGAACACACGAUCUGCAGACACCACAGUGAGUCUGGCUGGAUGUUGGAAUUCAUCAUCGCAGCUGUAGCACAGAGCUCGAGGACAGCCUGGUGUUUGCUGGAUAACUGUGGGCGUGUGAGAGACCAUAUUUGCCAGGAGUCUUCAGAGCAAAGGAAAAGGCAGCUUACCUCUCCACCCAGCUCUUGUAGCUGGGGAUGUCCUUGGCGUAAAGCAGCUUGUUGGAGGGCGAGUCCUUCCCAAGGCGGUGUUCUGAGGUGGAGCAGGAGUCCAUGAAGGUCUGUGCCACCACGGACAGGCAGGCGUCUGUGAUGCUGCUCUUGUGGAUGUCAAACACAAACUGGGGGUUUUUGAUCACAUUCACCCA